UAGCAGAAAAAUAUUAGACCUUUAAUUGAAUAUCACCUUCAAUGUUGUGUCAUUAAAAGAACUCCCUAAUAAAGUAUAAUUCAUACUGCAGCUUCUUACUUGCGUGGUUGUGGAAAAUGGCCAAGCUUUUCAAACUGCUUAGUAGUGGACUGGUGGUGGCGGAGAACCGUAAAUGUAUACCGGAGGGGGAGGUGAUUUUACGGGUGGGGGAGGUGAAGUGUAGUGGUAUGGAGGGGGAGGUGAUUUCACGGGUGGGGGAGGUGAAGUGUAAUGGUAUGGAGGGGGAGGUGAUUUUACGGGUGGGGGAGGUGAAGUGUAGUGGUAUGGAGGAGGAGGAGACUUCACAGGUGGAGGUGGAGAGUGGUAAUAGUAAGGAGGUGGGGGGGAUGGUGAUGGUGGUGGUGGAGACUUGUAAUAGUAAGGUGGGAGACUUGUAAUAGUAGGGUGGUGGGGGUGAUGGUGACGGGGGUGGUGGCGAUUUGUAGUAGUAAGGUGGAGGAGGUGACGGUGAUGGUGGUGGUGGAGACUUGUAGUAAUAGGGAGGUGGGGGUGAUGGUGAUGGGGGUGGUGGCGAUUUGUAGUAGUAUGGCGGAGGUGGUGAUGGUGAUGGUGGUGGUGGAGACUUGUAGUAAUAGGGCGGUGGAGGUGAUGGGGAUGGUGGUGGCGGGGAUUUGUAAUAGUAUGGUGGAGGAGGUGAUGGUGAUGGCGGGGGAGGGGACUUGUAGUAAUAUGGUGGUGGAGAUGGAGAUGGUGGUGGUGGAGACUUAUAAUAGUAUGGUGGAGGAGGAGACGGCGAUGGUGGUGGAGGAGACUUGUAAUAGUAGGAAGGUGGGGGUGAGGGUGAUGGUGGUGGUGGUGACUUAUAAUAGUAUGGUGGAGGAGGAGAUGGCGAUGGUGGUGGAGGAGACUUGUAAUAGUAAGGAGGUGGGGGUGAUGGUGAUGGGGGUGGGGGUGACUUGUAAUAAUAGGGAGGUGGUGGUGAUGGAGAUGGGGGUGGUGGUGACUUGUAAUAGUAUGGUGGAGGUGGAGAUGGGGAUGGUGGUGGAGGAGACUUGUAAUAGUAAGGUGGAGGUGGAGAAGGUGAUGGUGGUGGAGGAGACUUGUAAUAGUAAGGUGGUGGCGACUUGUAUACAUAUUUUGGUGAUGGAGGAGGCGGUGACUUGUAUAGGUACUUGGGUGAUGGAGGAGGCGGUGACUUAUACACGUAUUGCGGUGAUGGAGGAGGCGGUGACUUAUACAUGUACUUUGGUGGUGGAGGUGGUGGUGACUUGUAUAUAUAUUUUGGUGAUGGAGGUGGCGGUGACUUGUAUACGUACUUGGGUGAUGGAGGAGGCGGUGACUUGUACACGUAUUGAGGUGAUGGAGGAGGCGGUGACUUGUACAUGUACUUUGGUGAUGGAGGAGGUGGUGACUUGUAUAUAUAUUUUGGUGAUGGAGGAGGUGGAGAUUUGUAAUAAUAAGGAGCAGGAGUUGGCUUAGGCUUCAUGCAUUCUUCAUAAGGAGUUUUAGAGGCAUAAGCAAAUGGUUUUGCAUAGAGCACAACUUCAUAUUUAUUCUUUGACUUCACACUGAGGCUUGCACCUUUAAUGCCCCAGUGUAGAUUUGUGGGAAUGUUACAUUUUGAACCCUUUGGUGCUUUGUGGAGUUUAGCCUUGCAUGCAUCUGCUCCAUAUUUGGCAUACUCAAAUCCUUCGACUGUGAUAGCAAACUUGCCAUUGAUUUUAGUGGUACCAUAGCUCUUGAUUUUCUUGUCACCAACUUUGCAUGUGACCUCAACAACAGCACCUAAUCCGAGUGUGGAAAAUGAUAUUUCAAUUACUACUUAAUAAUUGAGUUGUUAACAGAUCAUAUAAACAUAAUUUAAUAUCCUACUAGCUACAAUAACUAACUUUGUCCUAUUCUUAAUAUAAAAAUAACUGGUCCAUCACAUGAUCAAAAGCUCAUUUUUCCACUUUUUCCUCUUUAUCUAAUAAGGAAUAUAAAAGUCAAGAAUCUACCCAUCUGGCUUCCUUUACUGCUUUUUGUUGAAUGAUUACUAGAUUAAAAUGGGCAGUUUGUGAGCCAACGCAGACUAAGUUUGGGCACCAAGAGAGGAAGCCACUUUUUCACCAUUUUGGUGAUUAUCCAACAAAUUUAUUUCAUUAUUAUAUAUUUUAAUAGUUUGAUAAUAAUUAGUUAAUCAUAAAAAAAGAAAAAGCUAAAGAAAAUCUUAAUACCACAAAUAAUUACUUAAUCAUGAUCGACAGUGAAGAUUGAUUUUUGUAUGGGAAGCAUAAGCAAUAUAAUUAUUUUCUUACUUUUACUUUUUUGAUGUUUUUUCAUUAUUCAGUUGUAACAAAAGCUUCUUCGCUGCUUCUUCUUCGUUUUGUAAAACUUUUUUGACAAAAUAUUUUGUACAUUUAUCAACUUUAUAAAUAAUUCAAGAAUUAGCCUUACAAUUAACCCUGCUUACAGGAUUUAUCACUUUCAUUUUAGAACCAAGUAUUAAUUGUCCUAAGUCCCUAAAGGCAUUUCAUUAUUAGUGAAGUUGGUGCCUUCAAAUUCAAGCAUGUCUCAAGGUAUUUGACACAUCAAUUUGGAGGAAAGCUAAGAGCGAAGAGAAUAAUAGAUUCUCAAGUAAACAAACAUCUUACUGAAUAUUGUUAUGAAGAUAUAUUAAAAAGAAAAGUAUAAAUAAGAGUGAAUGUUGCGGAGAUGAGUACUAUACCUUUGAGGUGCUUCUUGUUGUGGGAGUUCUUUGGGUAUUUCCAGUCAAAGCAUCUGUAGCAGUAGACUUUUCCAACAACCUUAACGACCAAGGAAUGAUGAGGAGGAUAAUAAUGAGUUGGGGGUGGUGGUGAAGUGUAAUAGUAUGGUGGAGGAGGUAACUUUACUGGCGGUGGAGGGGAGGAAUAGUAGUAUGGUGGAGGAGGUGACUUAACUGGUGGUGGAGGAGAGGAGUAGUAGUAUGGUGGAGGAGGUGACUUGACUGGUGGUGGAGGGGAAGAGUAGUAGUAAGGUGGAGGAGGUGACUUCACUGGUGGUGGAGGGGAAGAAUAGUAGUACGGUGGUGGAGGUGAUUUAACUGGUGGCGGAGGAGAAUAGUAGUAGUACGGAGGAGGAGGUGACUUAACUGGUGGCGAAGGAGAGGAGUAGUAGUAUGGUGGAGGAGGUGACUUAACAGGUGGUGGUGGGGACUUGUAGUAAUAAGGUGGUGGGGGAGAGGGUGAAGGGGGUGGUGGUGAUUUAUAAUAGUAUGGUGGAGGAGGUGACUUGACUGGUGGUGGAGGGGAGGAGUAGUAGUAUGGUGGAGGAGGUGACUUAACUGGUGGUGGAGGGGAAGAAUAGUAGUACGGUGGAGGAGGUGACUUGACUGGUGGUGGAGGGGAAGAGUAGUAGUAAGGUGGAGGAGGUGACUUCACUGGUGGUGGAGGGGAAGAAUAGUAGUACGGUGGUGGAGGUGAUUUAACUGGUGGCGGAGGAGAAUAGUAGUAGUACGGAGGAGGAGGUGACUUAACUGGUGGCGAAGGAGAGGAGUAGUAGUAUGGUGGAGGAGGUGACUUAACAGGUGGUGGUGGGGACUUGUAGUAAUAAGGUGGUGGGGGAGAAGGUGAAGGGGGUGGUGGUGAUUUAUAAUAGUAUGGUGGAGGUGGUGAUGGAGAAGGUGGUGGGGGAGACUUGUAAUAGUAUGGUGGAGGUGGUGAUGGGGAAGGUGGUGGGGGAGACUUGUAAUAAUAAGGCGGAGGUGGUGAAGGUGAAGGUGGUGGCGGGGAUUUGUAGUAAUAUGGUGGUGGUGGAGAUGGUGAUGGAGGGGGUGGUGACUUGUAUACAUAUGGCGGAGGAGGAGACGGUGAUGGAGGGGGUGGCGACUUGUACACAUACGGAGGUGGAGGAGAUGGUGAAGGAGGUGGUGGUGAUUUAUACACAUAAGGUGGGGGUGGAGAUGGUGAUGGAGGUGGUGGAGACUUGUACUCAUAAGGCGGUGGCGGAGAAGGAGAAGGAGGGGGUGGUGACUUGUACUCGUAAGUUGGUGGUGGGGGAGAAGCAUAUACGUAAGGGUCAGCAGAAACAAUAUUAGCAACAGCCAAAAUGGCCAGUGCCACUAAGAUUUGUGGCACAUGACGACCCUGGCGGGGAUCGCCACCGUUGAGCCUCAUUGCUAGUCGGGAAAAUGCGCCACCAACUCCUCUAAUGUGGCUAUGCAAAUCUGCACACACUUUUAAGUGUGAGAAAAGAGGACGAGAUCGAAGAAGCUUUAGUUGAGAGGUAAUGCCUUAAGAGGAAGCAAAGACCUAAGUAUUUAUAGUAACACUUAGUGAGAGGCAGUCGUUGGUAUGGAGCUGUCA
rnacentral:lncRNA from 1 species